GAAGCAUGCUAGUGGAGGGCAGUGACCAACACGUUGGAAGGAAGUGACAUGGAAUUACAUCAUCAACAAGGGAGGAGCCCGCCCUCCUCCAACAGGGGUAACACACACAGCUCUGCCUCGCUGCGUUGCUUCCCACUGUGUGCACCUUCAGAACACAGCACUGCCGACACGGUAUUGAGCAUCCUGCACACAACAUGUGGAGCUGAGCUCUUCCGCUCAACUGUGCACACGGAGGUUAGCAAUGGCAAGGACAUGGUCAACUGGGGGUGGGGGGGAAGCAAGCGCAGAGCCAGCACACAAGCAGCCAUGGCUAGCACUCUGGUCCCUCAGGGUGUUAUCAGUCCAAGUCUAAAGUACAAGUGUGGCCUUGGAACAUUCUAGAUUUUUCAGCAUGGCAGAUUCUCCCUCAGCCCACACAACCUGAACUCCAGAGCAGAUCUCUCAUACCCUCCACUCACUCCAUCACCCAGACAUCAGCAGGUGGCUGUCCCUUCACGGUCACCCAUGUCCCUUUUCUGAGGAAGGUCAAACCUCCCAGAGGUGUUCUUUCAUGCAGGAUUUCUGGGUCUAACGGUGCCUCGGGCCCUGUACGAUGCUGUGGGUCCCCUUUGCCCCUGGAGGGAUGCUCAGCUUUAGCUUAUAUUGCAAACCCACCAUUGGUUCCCUGCCAACCUGGGGAGCCAAGCAGGAAGUAAGGGGCCUCAUAGGACAGUAGCAGGAGAGAUGCCUGCCGUCCACCCACUCUGGAAAGGACCUUCAGAGAAGAUAGUGCCUCACGGUGCCUGGGAGCAGCCUCAGAGUUCAGGGUAGACUGGAAAGGCCAGGGCUCUACACAGAAGGUGACAGCUCAGACAGGAUAUUCUGCCCCAGGGAGAAACCUGAGCCUCUUUCCUUUGGUGUUGUCAGGAGGCUGGUGAGCUGUGUGUUGCUCAGCUGUGGUGUUUCCAGCAAGAUGUUUUUGGGAGCCCAACCAGCACUCUUUUUUUUUUUU